rnacentral:pre_miRNA from 1 species
AGAGGGAUAGCUGGGACAAAUGGUGGUUCCAUUCCAUGUUUUCUGAGGAAUUUCCACUGUGCUUUCCAAAGUGGUUGCACCAAUUUGCAGUCCUACCAGCAAU